AUUUUCUCAUUUCCUCCACCUUAAUCCUUCCCCUCUCUCUCCCCUUUUAAUUUCCCGUUGAAGAUUUGGUUUAUGUAGUGCGAUUUAAGGAAAGAGGAGAACGAUUCCUUCUCUGUCUUCUUCAAGUAAAGGUGGUUUGAAAACAUAUUGAGUUGGUGACAAAUCCGACGGCAAAUUUGUCGGUAGGUUAUGCUAUCAAUUACUGAGGAAAGAUUGUUUGAAAAUUAGGAUUUAUAAGAAUUUAUCAUUUUUCACAAUUAGGGUUUAUAAAAUUUACUAUGGAAGUAUAAUUUUUCUGGUUUUAACAAAUUGCAACGGAUUUUAAAAGUUUCUUUUGGUUUCACAGAUCGUACGUGUAGAUCUGGUGCCAUAGAUUUGCACGUCGCGGUGGUUAAUCUGCAUUUGCACUGUAUGAUUUGGAUUCUACGGUGGUUCUGAGUUGUGUCGUCGAUGGCGGUGAUGAUUUUUCAUGGAAAGUGAUGCAGUUUCAGAUGAUUCACUACAUGGUAAUACUUGCAUACAACCUUGGAGGAAUAAUAUUUCGAAGAGAGCUAAAUCUAUUAACAGUGAUAUGGUUUCACAUGAUAUAAUGGAUUAUGAUUCUGAUUUUCCAUAGAAGGAAGAGCUUAGUCACACACAAUAUGAUAUAUCAAAGGAUUCGUUAGGUGUCGGUUCUCUUCAGCGGCAUAGGAAGACUUCUAAAAGCAAGUAUGACCGAUACACAUGUUUAGUUUAAUUGAUUAUUACAUGCCUUUACAAAUUAGCAUCUGGUUUUAGGAACUUUUUUUGGGAGAACUGAUAGCACCUGGAUGGACGCAUGUUUCUCAAUGAUUUCAUCUAUUUUCCUCAUCACAGUCUUGCUUACCCGUGCUCGAAUACAGGUUUGGAUAACUAUUUUGUUGAAUAAAAAGUUGUUUAAUUUUACAUCUUUCAAUAUUCUAUUUUUUAUUUUGUUAAGUAUUUUUCACUCUCUGAAGAUCCAAUAUACCAAAUAGAACUUAAUAUUGAAAGCAGUGUUUGAAUCUUGAUGGAAAAAGUCAUGUGACUAUCUAAACAUUCUUACUUGAGUUUUUGCAUUGUCCUAAUAACCUAUCUUAUGCUUCUGGUAGAUAUUUGCAAAUCCAAUGUAUGAAUAUUUGGAUACCAAACAUGGAAUCAAAGGCAAGUGAUGGGUUUGCACCAGGUUAUAACUCUCUGUAUGGAGCAUUGUCAUUCUGCAUAAUUAUCGGAUGAAAGUGAUAGGUACAAAACUUUUGUUUUAUCGGGAGGAACUGAAUGUUAGUCAGGUUUAGCAGGUAAACUUUCAAAUAAUUUUUUCAUAUAAGAAAUUAUUACACUCUCACUAUUAUUGUACCAGUAGAGAAACCUAAAUGAAUCAAUCCAAACACGCCCUUACAUGUAAACUCCCAUAGGCUAUAAGCUAUUCAAACUUGGCCUAAUUCUACUAUUUUCGGGACCAUUGUUAUGCAUAAAAAGAUUAGAGAAAGAACUGCAUAGCUUACUUCCUCCAUACGUGUCAAAUGGAAUUAGAGUCACACCUCCUCCAUACGGCGUCGAUACUACAUAGUUCAAAGCAAAUAUGAUUGGCAAUGUAAGUUCCAUGUCACCUUGAUGAUAAAUAUUCAAGGUUCUGUUUUUCUAAACAACUUAUAUU